AUUGAACGCUGGCGGCAGGCCUAACACAUGCAAGUCGAACGGUAACAGGAAACAGCUUGCUGUUUCGCUGACGAGUGGCGGACGGGUGAGUAAUGUCUGGGAAACUGCCUGAUGGAGGGGGAUAACUACUGGAAACGGUAGCUAAUACCGCAUAACGUCGCAAGACCAAAGAGGGGGACCUUCGGGCCUCUUGCCAUCGGAUGUGCCCAGAUGGGAUUAGCUAGUAGGUGGGGUAACGGCUCACCUAGGCGACGAUCCCUAGCUGGUCUGAGAGGAUGACCAGCCACACUGGAACUGAGACACGGUCCAGACUCCUACGGGAGGCAGCAGUGGGGAAUAUUGCACAAUGGGCGCAAGCCUGAUGCAGCCAUGCCGCGUGUAUGAAGAAGGCCUUCGGGUUGCAAAGUACUUUCAGCGGGGAGGAAGGGAGUAAAGUUAAUACCUUUGCUCAUUGACGUUACCCGCAGAAGAAGCACCGGCUAACUCCGUGCCAGCAGCCGCGGUAAUACGGAGGGUGCAAGCGUUAAUCGGAAUUACUGGGCGUAAAGCGCACGCAGGCGGUUUGUUAAGUCAGAUGUGAAAUCCCCGGGCUCAACCUGGGAACUGCAUCUGAUACUGGCAAGCUUGAGUCUCGUAGAGGGGGGUAGAAUUCCAGGUGUAGCGGUGAAAUGCGUAGAGAUCUGGAGGAAUACCGGUGGCGAAGGCGGCCCCCUGGACGAAGACUGACGCUCAGGUGCGAAAGCGUGGGGAGCAAACAGGAUUAGAUACCCUGGUAGUCCACGCCGUAAACGAUGUCGACUUGGAGGUUGUGCCCUUGAGGCGUGGCUUCCGGAGCUAACGCGUUAAGUCGACCGCCUGGGGAGUACGGCCGCAAGGUUAAAACUCAAAUGAAUUGACGGGGGCCCGCACAAGCGGUGGAGCAUGUGGUUUAAUUCGAUGCAACGCGAAGAACCUUACCUGGUCUUGACAUCCACAGAACUUUCCAGAGAUGGAUUGGUGCCUUCGGGAACUGUGGGACAGGUGCUGCAUGGCUGUCGUCAGCUCGUGUUGUGAAAUGUUGGGUUAAGUCCCGCAACGAGCGCAACCCUUAUCCUUUGUUGCCAGCGGUCCGGCCGGGAACUCAAAGGAGACUGCCAGUGAUAAACUGGAGGAAGGUGGGGAUGACGCCAAGUCAUCAUGGCCCUUACGACCAGGGCUACACACGUGCUACAAUGGCGCAUACAAAGAGAAGCGACCUCGCGAGAGCAAGCGGACCUCAUAAAGUGCGUCGUAGUCCGGAUUGGAGUCUGCAACUCGACUCCAUGAAGUCGGAAUCGCUAGUAAUCGUGGAUCAGAAUGCCACGGUGAAUACGUUCCCGGGCCUUGUACACACCGCCCGUCACACCAUGGGAGUGGGUUGCAAAAGAAGUAGGUAGCUUAACCUUCGGGAGGGCGCUUACCACUUUGUGAUUCAUGACUGGGGUGAAGUCGUAACAAGGUAACCGUAGGGGAACC
rnacentral:rRNA from 1 species